rnacentral:misc_RNA from 1 species
GGAAGUAAAGGUCGUAACAAGGUCUCCGUUGGUGAACCAGCGGAGGGAUCAUUAUCGAGUUUAUAACUCCCAAACCCUAUGUGAACUUACCACUUGUUGCUUCGGCGCGCGCUUCGGCGCCGCCGAGGACACUUAAACUCUUUGUUUUUAUAAGCAUUUCUGAGUGGCCGAAAGGCAAAAUACAAAUGAAUCAAAACUUUCAACAACGGAUCUCUUGGUUCUG